UACGUAGGGGGCAAGCGUUGUCCGGAUUUAUUGGGCGUAAAGGGUGCGUAGGUGGCGCUGUAAGUCGGGUGUGAAAUUUCGGAGCUUAACUCCGAAACUGCAUUCGAUACUGCGGUGCUUGAGGACUGGAGAGGAGACUGGAAUUCAUGGUGUAGCAGUGAAAUGCGUAGAGAUCAUGAGGAAGACCAGUGGCGAAGGCGGGUCUCUGGACAGUUACUGACACUGAGGCACGAAGGCCAGGGGAGCAAACGGG
rnacentral:rRNA from 1 species